rnacentral:tRNA from 1 species
GGGGUUGUGGCUCAGCGGUAGAGCAUUUGCCUAGUACAUUUGAGGCCCUGGGUUUGAUCCUCAGCACCCCA